rnacentral:tRNA from 1 species
GGCUUCGUUGCUCAGCUGGUACAGCGCUUGCCGUGUUUAGGCAUGGCGUUUCUGUCGCUGGUUCGAAUCCAACCGAAGCUC